UGUAUCUAUUUGUAAGACAAACUGGUUUAAUUACUAUAGGUACCAGAUACUGUUAUGAAAAAUUCUGAUUUAGACUGUUAGAGGUCAACAAAUACAAAUGAAAUGCCUAUCAGAUCAUUAUUAAGGUAUAUUUUAUCAUGAUAUCAUUGUUCAUUUUUAUUUUAAGAUUUUAUAUUCGUUAAAAAUAUACAGAAAAGAUUGUGUCCCAUAUUAAGUCAGUGCAUAAUCCUGUUUGCAACAACUCCUUCCCCUUUUAUUAGUUUUAAAAAUCCCAAAUAAGGCACUGCCCCUUAGGUUUUUUUGCUGUUGCAAGUAAAGAUUAAAAAAAACAUCACCUAAUGUUUAACUCCAAAUUAGGGAAAAUUAUCAUCAGUCUGGGGCUGCUGGAUAUCUCGGACUUAAACAAAAUCGGCCUAUAACAGAAUCGGACUAUAAAAAACUCGGACUGUAACAAACUGGGCCUACCAUUAUUUAUAGGCACUGGCUACGGUUACAUCAAGCAUUUUAGAACACAAUUGAUUAUAUAAAGCACACAUAUUGUAGAAGGUUCAACAAUAAAGCAUACAUAAUACAUAAGUAUAUCAUUAAAGCAUAAUCAUACAUAGCACAAAAUAUCAAUAAAAUUGCAACAAAUCUAGUCCAAAUGUACAAAUAGGUGGCAGUUCAUACAAAAAAAUAAUUACUAAAUUUAAUUAGAUUAUCAAAUCAAAUUUAAAUUUAUUUAUACUCUUCAACUUCGUACUUUAUCAUUUAUUUGGCUUUUAACUUUUUGGAUUCGAGCGUCACUGAUGGUCUUUUGUAGACGAAACGCCGUCUUACGGGCCGCCGAAUGGGACUCCGUACCCGUACGUCUGGCGUAUAUACAAAAUUUAGUCCUGGUAUCUAUGAUGAUAUAAAAAAGAAGAUGUGGUAUGAUUGCCAAUGAGACAACUAUCCACAAAGACCAAAAUGACACAGACAUUAACAACUAUAGUCAAACGUACAACUGGCCUUCAACAUGAGCAAAACGCCAUACCGCAGCAUAGUCAGCUAUAAUAGGCCCGAUAAGACAAUGUAAAACAAUUCAAACGAGAAAACUAAUGGCCUAGUUUAUUUACAACCACUGGGUCGAUGCCACUGCUGGUGGAGAUUUAUUUCCCCGAGGGUAUCACCAGCCCAUAGUCAGCACUUUUGUGCUGACAUGAAUUAUCAUUGAUAUGGUUAUAUUUAUAAAUUAACUGUUUACAAAAUUUUGAUUUUUGAAAUUCUAAGGCUUUUCUACCUCAGGCAUAGAUUACAUUAGCUGUAAUUGGCAAAACUUUUAGGAAUUUUUAUCCGUACUGCUCUUCAACUUAGUACUUUAUUUGGCACUUUUAACUUUUUGGAUUCGAGCGUCACUGAUGAGUCUUUAGUAGACGAAACGCGCGUCUGGCGUAUAUACAAAAUUUAGUCCUGGUAUCUAUGAUGAGUUUAUAUUUAACUAAUAUUAUAAUGUAUGCAUUAUUUUAUUAUUUAUUUAGAAUUUAAACAAAAAAUAUUACUUUUAUUUGUACCUUUUUUCCUUUAAAUGUAAGCAUUUUUUUUUAUAUUUAUAUAUUUAAAAAACAAAUAUGAUCAUAAAUGUUUGAUUUUGUGUUUUAUAAUAUAAAAGUAACAUUUUAGAUAAUUUUUUUUAAUACUAAAGUGUUUAUAUUAUUUAAUGAAAAGUGCUUUAAUUUCAACAACAAAAAAUCAUAUUUAAUACUUAAAAAAAUUGAUAUAAUCCAAAAAUAAUACUUUGAAUAGGUAAUAAUUAAUUCUUGUUAUUUUAACAAAACAUUAACACCAAGUCUACUGUUUAUUUAAGAACAUUUCACAUCAAAAAAUAAUGUGGGACAAUCAGAACUUUUCAUGUGGACAUCAGAACUCUAAUAUUUUAAAAAUGGGACAAUCGGGAAAAAAGGUGCAACGAUACACGUGACAUAAUGUCAUAAUCAAUUAAGAUAUGCAUAUAAUAAAAAAUUAUUUUCAGAGAGAGACAUUAUUACAAAUAAUUAUACUGAAAAGACAAAUCAGUGGUGAAUUUUCAUAUUAAAAAGAAGUUUUUUGUACUUUUUUUUUAUAUAUAGAUAUCUAUCAUGUUAACGUAUUUUUUUUUAUCCCCUUCAAAAAUGUUUAAAAUAAAUUAUUUAAUUAAUUGUAGGUAAAAAUUAAUUUAAAAUUAAUUAAAAUUAAUUCCCAAUAGCAGCAACGACCAAAAUUAUACUUAUAUAUGUCUUAUAUUCUUCUAAUAGUCCGAGUUUGAUAUAGUCCGAGUUUGUUAUAGUCCGAUUUUGGGAGGCCGAUUAUGUGUUAGGCCGAGUUUGUUAUAGUCCGAUUUUGUUAUAGGCCGAGAUAUCAGGGAUUCAGUCAGGGGACUUACUUAAAUGAGUGAUUUUCUAAAUCACUGAUUCAAGUAACAUUAUUUCCAUAAAGGUUGAAAGUAAGAGUUGUCUUUCUUUAAUAAUCACCUAUUUAAGUAGUACAAAAUAAUCACUAGAAGAAGUGAUUUAAUUUUACUGUAGCUUUAACAAUGUUUAAAUAUAGAAUACUAAUGAUCCAGGGACUAAUUUUGUUUCUAAACUUAUCAGAACCAACUCUGUGUUGUCUAGGAUGACCAGGUCAUUUCAGGUGAUGACCUUGUACUGAAUCUAGGAUAAUGACAUAAAAAUCACUUGUUUAAGUAUCAUACCUCAAUUUCCUUCCCAAAAAUCACUUCUUUAAGUAUCAUUAUUUUAAUAACCCCACUAAUUUCAACACCCCCGAACAGUGAAAUUUUUAUCGCGAUCAGUAGAAUUUUAUUACAUAAUAUACAUAAAGAUUAAACCUUAAACUUUACAGGAAAAAUACUCCCACUGCUGGGAAAAAUCUGUUAAGAAAGUAUCAGAUCAUUAUGUAAAGCCAUUAUUAUAGCAUUUUUUCAACUAAAAUAGAAUUUGCAGCUAAAUGAUAGCAUCAAAGGCAUAAACCUUGAUACUUAAAAGAAGCAAAAAAUUCAUUUUUUUUUAAUUUUACUAAUGAAAAGAUAUUUUUUAAACCUAUGUGUUUAAAAUUUUGAUAAAACUACAAAAUCACAAUUUGUGACAAAACUUUGAAUUUGCUACUAAAAUAAGUGAUUUAAAAAUCACUUAUUUAAGUAAGUCCCCUGACUGAUCAUACAAUGUAUUUGAAACAACUCUUCUAAAAGUCUGAAAACAGGGGAUACCCCACUUUUUCUGAUUUGGCCCAAUCUUAGAAAAGGGAUUUUCACUCUCCCAUCCACAACUGAGGUUUGUAAUGGGGGUACCUUCAUAACUUAUGACGUUGUAACCGGAGAGCAUGAAUUUCAUUACAAAAUUGCUUGGCUCCACCUAGUCCAAAUUUUAAAUUUUUGCUUUGACGCCUUCCUGCGUCGAUGUAAGGCUUCAAAGAAAAAAAAUAUAAUAGCCUUUCAUGAUGUCAUGAUUAUUUGGACUAGUCUCCACCAUGACUCGAACCCGGGACCUCUGUGUUACAAGGGAGCGUGUUAACCGUCUGAGCUUACUUCCUUAGCUCAACAGCUUACGGCUGACUAGAUAUCUAACACACAUUCAAAGGGAAGCAAUCCCGUCACACUUCCCCCACCUCAAGAGUCAUCAUACCAUUUUGGCUCUCACACAAACAUACCAUAGCUAGAAUUCCGCUCUAAGCACCAUGGGUUUUUAGUUGGGCUUCAAAGUAACCAGAGAGCAUGAAUUUCAUUACAAAAUUGCUUGUCUCCACUGUAUCUGGAACCGGGGACUUCUGUAUUACAAGGCAGCGUGUUAACGGACUGAGCUAAAGAAGUUUUACCUUAUCAGAACCGCUUACAGCUGACUAAGUAUCUAACACAUGUUCAAAGGAAAGCAAUCCUGUCAGUGUCACAACAUGAAUAACAUUAAAAGUUAUUGCAAAAUGAUGUUAACAUAUAAUUUAUUAUACCAAAUGUUCUGCUAUUAUAUAUUGUCUUUAAAAUUUUAGAUGGAAAGUUAUAAACUAUGCAUCAUGUAGACCACUCCGUCAAAUAUAUCAAUGGCAGUGCAAUAGAAAAACAACAAAAGUUAAGCAAGCUGUAUCUUUUAUUAUAACAAUUUCUGAUGUCAUUACAGAGAACUUUAGCAUUGUAUUCAAAAUUAUUGAUGUAAAUUCACUUCAUUGUCCUUUAUAUUAAUGAUUUUGAUUGUUAUGCAGGAGAGGGUGUUAUUCAAAAAUUUUCUCCCACAUGGCCAUGUGAUAGUAUAGGGUACAUAUAAGUUAUCUCUAUUUAAUUAGCCAAUCAAAAUCUGUCAUUUUAACCUGAAGUAUAAUAAUAUUGAAUAAUAAUUAUCCUUAUUCUCUUUUCCAGAUAUUUGCUGAAUAAUGAACAAAUGAUUCAAAAAGUAAGUGCUUAAUAUUUUCUCUGAUAUAGUGUUUAUCAUGAUUUAUAUGGCCCACUUAUAAUUAAUGGCAUUGUAUUUCGGUCUGUUUGUCAAUUCAUUCGUCAGUUUGUUUGUAUGUCUGUCUUGCUUAAGUUUAAAAGUUUUUGGUCAAGGUAGUUUUUGAUGAAGUUGAAGUCCAAUCAGCUUGAAACUUUAAGUAUACAUGUACAUGUUCCCUAUGAUAUGAUCUUUCUAAUUUUAAUGUCAAAUUAGAGUUUUCUCUAAGAGUUAUGCCCUAGGAAUUAGGAAUUUUGGCAAUAAUAUACUACUGUAACAGGUUGCCAUCUCAACUCCUCUGAAAUCACACAACAGAUUUCAUGAAACUUUGUAGAUAACAAGGACAUACAUGUAUGAGCUGGCUAAUUUGGUGUUUUUUGCUACUUAGAAAUGAAUUUUAGAAGUUAAAGACCCUAAUGCUAAUAUGUGAGGCAAAAUACACAAAUAUUGAUAUGGAUGUGUGAUAAACAUUUGAUUGAUGUAAUUUGCAUGCUUUGGUAGAUUGAUAAUAAUUCUCAAUUUUAUAAUUUAAGAGACCAAAAAAGAUGUUUUGUCAUACCUUCUCCCAAAAUCAUUCACAUACAUUGAUAGGUUAUAAUGUUAUUUGAAAAGUUUGAAUAUAGUUUUUAUGAUCACUCACAAAACAUAAAUUUAUAUAUAUGCAUGUUGCAUCAAUUUUAUUUUCUAAAAAGGGGUAAAUUACAAAUGUACUAUAACAACUUUAUGCUCAAUCUUUUUUAUCAGUUAGCUGACAGUAAGCCAGUAAGAAGAGCAGCCCAACUUACAGUGUUUGUUAGUCAGAAAGCAAAAGAAUCAGGUAUUUAUAUGAUUUAACUUUAUGCCAGACAGAUAAGAAUUUCAGUUAUGCCUACCUAAAGGAAGUUAUGGAAAUUGGAUUAGAAAAAAAUGGUUAGCAAUGUGUUUCUCGAAUGGUGGGUUAGUCAAGGUCAGGGGAACCCUUACCAAAUUGUUGAAACUGGAUGUCCCAAAAAGUGUUUUUUUCUGUAUAUUGGAGCUCUGGAUAAAACAUUGGUACAAUGUAACAAUUUUUUAAUUCUAUAUAGCUGACUUAUGUGCCCUUUCUAGCAGCAUAUGUUGUUUCCUUGUUAAUAAUUUAAUCAAAUAAAUUGAAGUCAUAUCUUUUCACUGCACAUAUGAUUUCGGUUUUACUUAUGUUUUGUAUUUUCAACAACAUGUUUUAAUUGUGUGUGUAUUUUUUUAACAGGGUUUGACAGUGUUAGUAAAUUUUCAGAGGGAUUUAAACAAGGGGAGACAAAUGCAUCAAAACCAGUUCGUAGAAGGAAAUGAUAACAGCGUGGAGAAUAAUGCUGGAUGGACAAAUUGCAUUUGCUAAAGACAUGAACUCCAUCAAUUAAUUUAUAACCUUUGAGCCUAACAUUUCUAUACGAUGUACUUUUAAUGAUCAUGAUGCCAAACUGUGGCUAUUUAUUUUAAUAUUAUUUCUGUUGAACUGUGAUUUUCAAUAAAGAUACGGAUGGUGUUGUAUUUGUAGAAAGGCCAUUUUUCCUAUAGUAAUCACUUAGUAUAUGUCCCUGUACUUCACACAAACAUGUACAAGUGAACAUGUCUGUUUUUAAGUCUGUUGCAUUCAACUGAUGUCUGC
rnacentral:lncRNA from 1 species